rnacentral:hammerhead_ribozyme from 1 species
AUCCAGUUGACCAGUCCCAAAUAGGACGAAACGCGCAUCCUGAAU